GAGUCUGGCUGUCAGCACCCUUGGAGUCAGGGAGGCACAGCAGAGCUGAGCACUGCCAGUUUGUGCCUAGCCACAAACACAACCCUCCCUCUCCAGAGAGAAGAAAAGAGAGAGGAAAAGCAUAAGAGCUGCUGCCCCAGAACUUCCCUGUUCUUGCUGCUGUAGAAGAUCUCCCAGCCUUCAACUCACUGCCAGGACUGCAAGUGGCAGAAAACACCUGCCUCAGUGCCAGCCUGCUCCUACAAACCCCACAGCUUGCACAGAGUAGCCGAGCUGAGCUGAUGCCAGGAACGUGAAGGUCUUGUAAGAGGUGACAUUUAAAGUUGUGUAUUCCCAGCUUUUGUAAUUACAGGUUAGCCAUUUGGUUUUCAUUCCUUUCAGCAGGGUCUGAGAUAUUGGUGUCAUAGAUUUUCUGCCUGAUCUACACCGGUUACUUCCUUAUCUUCAUUUAUUCUUUUAAAGAUACAUCACUUGAACUUUAUCCUGUGGCUUUCUUGCCUAACAUCAGUCAGGAAAAUGCUUAAAAAUGAAAGAAUUAAAUAUUUUUGGAUAAUAGAAAAUCUCUUUUGAAGGAGAUGAAAAGAGUUAAAUCCCACAAACUUGUCACUCGAUGACAGAAACCCUGACUUCUGAAAGUUGUACACACGUGCAGCCUGGCCUGCCCCCAAUGUCUUGACUGCCAUGAAACUAGAAACAUUUAUUAGCAUAAAAAAUUUGUAAUCUAGUCUGAAAAAGAAAACAAACAAACAAACAAACAAGAAAAAAGGCAAAUAGUACACAGCUCUCAUUUAUGAGAGCAUUUUUAUUUUCCAGAAGACGUCAGUUUAAUUCUCCAUUUACUGUCACCAUACCCAGCAACUUUUGAUCUCCCCCCACAAAAUACAGCACAGUAGAGUGUCUCUUUAAAUUCAUUUAUAAAAUAAUUCAGGACUGUGGGUGUCUUUGAUCUGUUCGUCUCUGCUAAAAUACAGAAGAGAAGAACAUGUCGCUUAGCAACCCCGCUUAGCCGGCACUGGGGGAGGCAGGAGGGAUGGAUGGUCCAGA
rnacentral:lncRNA from 1 species